rnacentral:rRNA from 1 species
UACGUAGGGUGCAAGCGUUGUCCGGAAUUAUUGGGCGUAAAGAGCUCGUAGGCGGUUUGUCGCGUCGGCUGUGAAAGCCCGGAGCUCAACUCCGGGUCUGCAGUCGAUACGGGCAGACUUGAGUGUUGCAGGGGAGACUGGAAUUCCUGGUGUAGCGGUGAAAUGCGCAGAUAUCAGGAGGAACACCGGUGGCGAAGGCGGGUCUCUGGGCAACAACUGACGCUGAGGAGCGAAAGCGUGGGGAGCAAACAGG